GAGCACACUUUGUGGGACAGCAACCUGAGUACGGCGAGGCUCGAGGAACCUUGUCGGAAGCUGGGUCGACCACGAUCCAAGGCUAAAUACGGAGCGGCGACCGAUAGAGGAAUAGUACCGUGAGGGAAAGGUGAAAAGGACCCCGGUGAGGGGAGUGAAAGAGAACCUGAAACCAUACGCCCACAACAGGUCGGAGGGGAGUAUAAACUUCCUGACGGCGUGCCUUUUGUAGAAUGAGCCUGUGAGUUACGAUAGCGAGCGAGGUUAAGGCAUGGGAGUGCCGGAGCCGGAGGGAAACCGAGUCUUAAUAGGGCGAGUUAGUUCGUUAUCGUAGACCCGAAGCCAGGUGAUCUUAUUACGGCCAGGCUGAAGCUCAGGUAACACUGAGUGGAGGGCCGAACUCUAGUGUGAUGAAAAACGCAGGGAUGAGCUGUGAUAAGGGGUGAAAGGCUAAACAAACCUGGAAAUAGCUGGCACUCCCCGAAAUGCCUUGAGGGACAGCCUCAUACGCCUAUCAUGGAGGUAGAGCACUGUUUGGACUAGGGGUCUUCACCGGCUACCAAACCCAGGCAAACUGCGAAUGCCGUGACAGAAGGUAUGGGAGUGAGACGGCGGGCGAUAAAGUUCGUCGUCGAGAGGGGAACAGCCCGGACCGACAGCUAAGGUCCCUAAAUGCCGCUGAGUGUGAAAUGAGGUGCUAUUGCGAAGACAGCCAGGAGGUUGGCUUAGAAGCAGCAAUUCCUUAAAAGAGUGCGUAACAGCUCACUGGUCGAGCAAUGGUGCGCAGAAAAUGUAACGGGGCUAAGCGGUAUACCGAAGCUUCGGAUUCUAUGUAUAAAGCAUAGGAUGGUAGGGGAGCAUUCCAUGGACCGCAGAAGGUACACUGAGAGGUGUGCUGGAGGGGAUGGAAGAGAGAAUGCAGGUAUAAGUACACGAAAAGACGGGUGAGAUUCCCGUCCGCCGAAAACCUAAGGUUUCCUGGGUAAAGGUCAUCUGCCCAGGGUUAGUCGGUCUCUAAGAUGAGGCGGAAGCGCGUAGUCGAUGAGAAUCCGGUUCAUAUUCCGGAACCAUAUAUAAGUUCGAAGGGAUGACGCAUGAGGUGGAGCACUGCCGGCUGACGGAAUAGCCGGUUGACCUAGCGAGCUUAUGAGGUAGCGAGGCAAAUCCAGCUACUGAGGUGAGCUAGGGAGGGAGAGAAGCUACGGUGGAACGAAGUGUGCCGAAUCAAGGUGCCAAGAAAGAGUCUCUAAGGACAACUUAUAUAUGACCGUACCGUAAACGGACACACGUAGGUAGGAUGAGAAAUCUAAGGCGCUCGAGAGAACUCGCGUUAAGGAACUCGGCAAAAUGCACACGUAACUUAGGGAGAAGUGUGGCCUAUUGAAAGAUAGGUUGCAGAUAAUAGGCCCAGGCGACUGUUUACCAAAAACACAGGACUCUGCGAACGCGCAAGCGGAAGUAUAGGGUCUGACGCCUGCCCGGUGCUGGAAGGUUAAGAGGAGGGGUUAGCGGGAAACUGCGAAGCUCUGAAUUGAAGCCCCAGUAAACGGCGGCCGUAACUAUAACGGUCCUAAGGUAGCGAAAUUCCUUGUCGGGUAAGUUCCGACCCGCACGAAUGGUGGAACGAUCUGGGCACUGUCUCGACGCGAGACUCGGUGAAAUUUAAGUACCGGUAAAGAUGCCGGUUACCCGUGGUUAGACGGAAAGACCCCAUGAACCUUUACUGUAGCUUAUCAUGGGGACUUGGCUUUACAUGUGUAGGAUAGGUGGGAGACAGGGAAGCAUGGCCGCUAGGCUGUGUGGAGUCGUUGGUGAAAUACCACCCUUGUAAGGCUAGGUUUCUAACUCAGUUUGUAAAUCCAGGCUGAGGACAGUGGUAGGUGGGCAGUUUGACUGGGGCGGUCGCCUCCUAAAAGGUAACGGAGGUGCGCGAAGGUUGCCUUGCGCUGGGUGGAAAUCAGCGCUUAAAGUGUAAAGGCAUAAGGCAGCUUGACUGCGAGUCCGACAGGACGAGCAGGUACGAAAGUAGGUCUUAGUGAUCUGGCGGUAGCGAGUGGAAGCGCCGUCACUUAACGGAUAAAAGGUACUCUGGGGAUAACAGGCUGAUCUUGCCCAAGAGUUCACAUCGACGGCAAGGUUUGGCACCUCGAUGUCGGCUCAUCGCAUCCUGGGGCUGGAGCAGGUCCCAAGGGUUUGGCUGUUCGCCAAUUAAAGCGGUACGUGAGCUGGGUUCAG
rnacentral:rRNA from 1 species